rnacentral:rRNA from 1 species
GUGGGGAAUCUUCCGCAAUGGACGAAAGUCUGACGGAGCAACGCCGCGUGAGUGAUGAAGGUCUUCGGAUUGUAAAGCUCUGUUAAUCGGGACGAAAGAGCCUAGUGUGAAUAAUGCUAGGAAGUGACGGUACCGGAAUAGAAAGCCACGGCUAACUACGUGCCAGCAGCCGCGAUAAUACGUAGGUGGCAAGCGUUGUCCGGAAUUAUUGGGCGUAAAGCGCGCGCAGGCGGAUCUGCCAGUCUGUCUUAAAAGUUCGGGGCUUAACCCCGUGAUGGGAUGGAAACUACAGAUCUAGAGUAUCGGAGAGGAAAGUGGAAUUCCUAGUGUAGCGGUGAAAUGCGUAGAUAUUAGGAAGAACACCAGUGGCGAAGGCGACUUUUUGGACGAAAACUGACGCUGAGGCGCGAAAGCCAGGGGAGCGAACGGGAUUAGAAACCCGGGUAGUCC